GACGGUUCUCUGAUUUCGGUUAGAGAGCAGUGGCGAACGGCUGAGUAACACAAAGGUAACCUACCCUAAAGUGGGGGACAACUCCGAGAAAUCGGAGCUAAUACCGCAUGCCGUUCCUUCAUGAUUUGGGGGAACGAAAGCCUUCGGGCGCUUAAGGAGGGGCCUUUGUCCUAUCAGGUAGUUGGUAGGGUAAUAGCCUACCAAGCCAAAGACGGGUAGCUGGUCUGAGAGGAUGAUCAGCCAGACGGGGAAUGAGAGACGACCCCGACUCCUACGGGAGGCAGCAGCAAGGAAUAUUGCGCAAUGGGCGAAAGCCUGACGCAGCGACGCCGCGUGGGGGAUGAAGGCCUUAGGGUUGUAAACCCCUUUUCUUGGUGAAGAGUAAGGACGGUAAUCAAGGAAUAAGCCUCGGCUAACUACGUGCCAGCAGCCGCGGUAAUACGUAGGAGGCAAGCGUUAUCCGGAAUUACUGGGCGUAAAGGGCGUGUAGGCGGCCCCCUAAGUUGGCAGUGAAAGCUCCCGGCUUAACUGGGAGAGGUCUGCCAAGACUGAGGGGCUAGAGGACAGCAGAGGAAGGUGGAAUUCCCGGUGUAGCGGUGACAUGCGUAGAUAUCGGGAGGAACACCAGUGGCGAAGGCGGCCUUCUGGGCUGUUUCUGACGCUGAGGCGCGAAAGCGUGGGGAGCGAAGUGGAUUAGAUACCCACGUAGUCCACGCUGUAAACGGUGGACACUUGGUAUGGGGGGUAUCGACCCUCUCUGUGCCGAAGCUAACGCUUUAAGUGUCCCGCCUGGGAACUACGGUCGCAAGACUAAAACUCAAAGGAAUUGACGGGGGCCCGCACA
rnacentral:rRNA from 1 species